CCUACGGGCGGCACCAGUGGGGAAUACUGCACAAUGGGCGCAAGCCUGAUGCAGCCAUGCCGCGCGUGUGAAGAAGGCCUUCGGGUUGUAAAGCACUUUCAGCGAGGAGGAAGGUGGUGAACUUAAUACGUUCAUCAAUUGACGUUACUCGCAGAAGAAGCACCGGCUAACUCCGUGCCAGCAGCCGCGGUAAUACGGAGGGUGCAAGCGUUAAUCGGAAUUACUGGGCGUAAAGCGCACGUAGGCGGUUUGUUAAGUCAGAUGUGAAAUCCCUGGGCUCAACCUGGGAACUGCAUUUGAAACUGGCAAGCUAGAGUCUCGUAGAGGGGGGUAGAAUUCCAGGUGUAGCGGUGAAAUGCGUAGAGAUCUGGAGGAAUACCGGUGGCGAAGGCGGCCCCCUGGACGAAGACUGACGCUCAGGUGCGAAAGCGUGGGGAGCAAACAGGAUUAGAUACCCCGGUAGUC
rnacentral:rRNA from 1 species